rnacentral:misc_RNA from 1 species
CUGAGUUGCAAAACUCCCACCAUUGUGAACCUACCUAGACUGUUGCUUCGGCGGGGGGCACUGCCCUGCUUUCCCUAGGAAGCACCCGCCGGAGGCAUUUAAACUCUGUAUUAUUGGCCUCUCUGAGUAACUUAUUUAAUAAGUCA